CAAGUCGAGCGGACAGAAGGGAGCUUGCUCCCGGGAUGUUAGCGGCGGACGGGUGAGUAACACGUGGGUAACCUGCCUGUAAGACUGGGAUAACUCCGGGAAACCGGAGCUAAUACCGGAUAGUUCCUUGAACCGCAUGGUUCAAGGAUGAAAGACGGUUUCGGCUGUCACUUACAGAUGGACCCGCGGCGCAUUAGCUAGUUGGUGGGGUAAUGGCUCACCAAGGCGACGAUGCGUAGCCGACCUGAGAGGGUGAUCGGCCACACUGGGACUGAGACACGGCCCAGACUCCUACGGGAGGCAGCAGUAGGGAAUCUUCCGCAAUGGACGAAAGUCUGACGGAGCAACGCCGCGUGAGUGAUGAAGGUUUUCGGAUCGUAAAGCUCUGUUGUUAGGGAAGAACAAGUGCGAGAGUAACUGCUCGCACCUUGACGGUACCUAACCAGAAAGCCACGGCUAACUACGUGCCAGCAGCCGCGGUAAUACGUAGGUGGCAAGCGUUGUCCGGAAUUAUUGGGCGUAAAGGGCUCGCAGGCGGUUUCUUAAGUCUGAUGUGAAAGCCCCCGGCUCAACCGGGGAGGGUCAUUGGAAACUGGGAAACUUGAGUGCAGAAGAGGAGAGUGGAAUUCCACGUGUAGCGGUGAAAUGCGUAGAGAUGUGGAGGAACACCAGUGGCGAAGGCGACUCUCUGGUCUGUAACUGACGCUGAGGAGCGAAAGCGUGGGGAGCGAACAGGAUUAGAUACCCUGGUAGUCCACGCCGUAACGAUGAGUGCUAAGUGUUAGGGGGUUUCCGCCCCUUAGUGCUGCAGCUAACGCAUUAAGCACUCCGCCUGGGGAGUACGGUCGCAAGACUGAAACUCAAGGAAUUG
rnacentral:rRNA from 2 species